UGAACGCUGGCGGCGUGCCUAAUACAUGCACGUCGAGCGAACGGACGCGAAGCUUGCUUUUCUGAUGUUAGCGGCGGACGGGUGAGUAACACGUGGAUAACCUACCUAUAAGACUGGGAUAACUUCGGGAAACCGGAGCUAAUACCGGAUAAUAUUUUGAACCGCAUGGUUCAAAAGUGAAAGACGGUCUUGCUGUCACUUAUAGAUGGAUCCGCGCUGCAUUAGCUAGUUGGUAAGGUAACGGCUUACCAAGGCAACGAUGCAUAGCCGACCUGAGAGGGUGAUCGGCCACACUGGAACUGAGACACGGUCCAGACUCCUACGGGAGGCAGCAGUAGGGAAUCUUCCGCAAUGGGCGAAAGCCUGACGGAGCAACGCCGCGUGAGUGAUGAAGGUCUUCGGAUCGUAAAACUCUGUUAUUAGGGAAGAACAUAUGUGUAAGUAACUGUGCACAUCUUGACGGUACCUAAUCAGAAAGCCACGGCUAACUACGUG
rnacentral:rRNA from 1 species